rnacentral:rRNA from 1 species
UGGGGAAUAUUGGACAAUGGGCGCAAGCCUGAUCCAGCCAUACCGCGUGGGUGAAGAAGGCCUUCGGGUUGUAAAGCCCUUUUGUUGGGAAAGAAAAGCGACCGGCCAAUACCCGGUUGUUCUGACGGUACCCAAAGAAUAAGCACCGGCUAACUUCGUGCCAGCAGCCGCGGUAAUACGAAGGGUGCAAGCGUUACUCGGAAUUACUGGGCGUAAAGCGUGCGUAGGUGGUGGUUUAAGUCUGCUGUGAAAGCCCUGGGCUCAACCUGGGAAUUGCAGUGGAUACUGGAUCACUAGAGUGCGGUAGAGGGUAGUGGAAUUUCCGGUGUAGCAGUGAAAUGCGUAGAGAUCGGAAGGAACAUCUGUGGCGAAGGCGACUACCUGGGCCAGCACUGACACUGAGGCACGAAAGCGUGGGGAGCAAACA